GAUGAACGCUGGCGGCGUGCCUAAUACAUGCAAGUCGAGCGAAUGGAUUAAGAGCUUGCUCUUAUGAAGUUAGCGGCGGACGGGUGAGUAACACGUGGGUACCUGCCCAUAAGACUGGGAUAACUCCGGGAAACCGGGGCUAAUACCGGAUAACAUUUUGAACCGCAUGGUUCGAAAUUGAAAGGCGGCUUCGGCUGUCACUUAUGGAUGGACCCGCGUCGCAUUAGCUAGUUGGUGAGGUAACGGCUCACCAAGGCAACGAUGCGUAGCCGACCUGAGAGGGUGAUCGGCCACACUGGGACUGAGACACGGCCCAGACUCCUACGGGAGGCAGCAGUAGGGAAUCUUCCGCAAUGGACGAAAGUCUGACGGAGCAACGCCGCGUGAGUGAUGAAGGCCUUCGGGUCGCAAAACUCUGUUGUUAGGGAAGAACAAGUGCUAGUUGAAUAAGCUGGCACCUUGACGGUACCUAACCAGAAAGCCACGGCUAACUACGUGCCAGCAGCCGCAGUAA
rnacentral:rRNA from 1 species